GACAGAGGCCACAAGCGUUAGGCGGAAUCACUGGGCUUAAAGCGUGUGUAGGCGGAUCGUUAAGUGCCUUGUGAAAUCCCCCGGCUCAACCGGGGAAAGGCUGGGCAGACUGGCGGUCUUGAGCCAUUCAGGGGCGACUGGAACAAGCGGUGGAGCGGUGAAAUGCGUAGAUAUCGCUUGGAACGCCUGCGGUGAAAACGGGUCGCUGGGGAUGUGCUGACGCUGAGACACGAAAGCCAGGGGAG
rnacentral:rRNA from 1 species